rnacentral:rRNA from 1 species
UACGUAGGGACCAAGCGUUGUUCGGAUUUACUGGGCGUAAAGGGCGCGUAGGCGGCAAUUCAAGUCAGCUGUGAAAUCUCCGGGCUUAACUCGGAACGGUCAGCUGAUACUGCUUUGCUAGAGUGCAGAAGGGGCAAUCGGAAUUCUUGGUGUAGCGGUGAAAUGCGCAGAUAUCAGGAGGAACACCGGUGGCGAAGGCGGUGGUCUGGGCCGGCACUGACGCUGAGGAGCGAAAGCGUGGGUAGCAAACAGG